GGCGGCGGCCAUUUUGUGCCGGGAGUCCGGAGGAAGAGGACGCUGUCUUGUCUCCGCGCUCGACGGGCCCUGACGCUAACCGAGCCGCUCUCGGCCCCGCGAACCAAUCCCGGCCGGAUCUCUAGCCUCCCCGCCCCCUCCCCCGGGAAGUGAGGCGGCCAAGGGCGACUCCGCCGGGACACAACUGCCGCCGCCGGCCGAGCCCCCCGCCCCGCCCCCAGCUCGCGCCCCUCGGUGCCCCCUCUGCGGGAAAAUGCGAGGCUUCGGAGACCGGGGCCGCGACCGUGACCGCGGCGGGUUUGGUAGUCCUCUGCCCCCAAAGAAAUUUGGUAAUCCAGGGGAGCGUCUACGCAAAAAGAAGUGGGACCUGAAUGAGCUGCCCAAAUUUGAGAAGAACUUUUAUGUGGAGCAUCCAGAAGUGGCCAGGCUAACCCCCUAUGAAGUUGAAGAACUGCGACGAAAGAAAGAGAUUACCGUUAGGGGGACAGAUGCCUGCCCCAAACCUGUUUUUGCCUUCCACCAUGCUAACUUCCCACAAUAUGUAAUGGAUGUCUUGAUCGAUCAGAAUUUCACAGAACCCACUCCAAUUCAGUGCCAGGGCUUCCCAUUGGCCCUCAGUGGCAGAGACAUGGUGGGCAUCGCUCAGACAGGCUCCGGGAAGACCUUGGCAUACUUGCUGCCUGCAAUUGUUCACAUUAAUCACCAGCCAUACUUGGAGAGGGGAGAUGGUCCAAUUUGUUUGGUUCUAGCUCCUACCAGAGAGCUGGCCCAGCAAGUCCAGCAGGUGGCUGAUGAUUAUGGCAAAUGCUCAAGACUUAAGAGUACCUGCAUAUAUGGAGGGGCACCCAAAGGUCCCCAAAUCCGAGACCUGGAGAGAGGUGUUGAGAUCUGCAUUGCCACACCUGGCCGCUUGAUUGACUUCCUGGAGGCAGGAAAGACCAACCUUCGCCGAUGUACAUACCUUGUGCUGGAUGAAGCGGAUAGGAUGUUGGAUAUGGGCUUUGAACCCCAAAUUCGUAAAAUUGUUGACCAGAUAAGGCCUGACCGGCAAACUCUGAUGUGGAGUGCCACUUGGCCAAAGGAAGUGCGCCAGCUUGCUGAGGAUUUUCUGCGUGACUAUGUUCAAAUCAACGUGGGCAACCUGGAGCUGAGUGCUAACCACAACAUCCUGCAAAUAGUGGAUGUAUGCAUGGAGAGCGAGAAGGACCAUAAACUAAUUCAACUGAUGGAAGAAAUCAUGGCUGAGAAAGAGAACAAAACUAUCAUAUUUGUUGAGACAAAAAGACGAUGUGAUGACCUCACUCGAAGAAUGCGCAGAGAUGGCUGGCCAGCUAUGUGUAUCCAUGGAGACAAGAGUCAGCCAGAAAGAGACUGGGUACUUAACGAAUUCCGUUCUGGAAAGGCUCCUAUCCUCAUCGCUACAGAUGUUGCAUCUCGUGGGCUAGUCUCUUCCUGCUCCUAAUGAACAGGCUUUGGUCUGCAGCAAGGCCUAGGCAUGACUAAUCGAUCGCCAAGAGGGAGAAGAGACGUCCAAUUAUGCAACCCAAUCCUUCCACUGCACCCCUUCCUCCCCACUUCCAGCUUUUUGUGGCUGGAUGGCUAGGGCUGGAUUGCUCCCAAUUUACAGAGGGGAUCAGAUAAAAGUUGAAAUAGAGUCGUGUGGGAGAGUAGUUCAACAUAUAAUAAUUAACAAUACAUAGGUGAUAUAUACAAAUAAAUCCCUGCAUACACAUAAUUUUCCCAUCAGAUGUGCUCACAUCUGGGAAAGCAUUGCUCCAGCUUUUCUAUUUUCACAAAUAGCCUUCCCGGCUCUGUGUUGGUUGUAGGCAGGUUCUAUUAUAUGCCUUCAACAUAUACUGUCCAAGUGUUGUGUUGGAUCAGAAUUACAUAGAUCAUUUUCACAUCAGUGAAAUAAACUUUCUGGAUGCAUAAGUUAAAACACCCCCUUUUAAUAAGUAUAUUUGUAGUAUGAAACCUUUGUGUUUAAACAUUAACCUUUCUCCCUUUUACAUUUGCCCAGUGUAAGUUUAGAAAUAUUCUAAAGCAAUUUGGGUCCGUCUGCAUUCUUACACUUCCCAGACGUGGCAAAGACCAUUCCUGAGGGCCAUAUACCAGAGUUAGUGCCUCAGUGGUCUGAUCCAUUGUGGCAAAUCUUAAAGUAAAACUAUUGCAAGUGAUCCAUCAAGAAGCACAGAGGGAAAUUCUGUGAUUACAGAAGAGUUUUAGUUAUUUGAAACUGUUUUUUAUAUCCUGAAAGGGUGGCUGUACUGAGCAUCUCAAGGUCAUUUAAAUGUUGGCAAACUAGUGUGAGACUUGGCAGCCUUCAUUCACAUAACCUUCACCCCACCCCCACCCCCAAAAUUGUCCAACACUUCCUCUAAGAGGUGAUCAUAUGGACUUCAGUCUCUGCCCUCUAGGGUCAUGUCUGGACCUGUGCAGUUAGAACUUGGGCCUGUUGGGAGAAGGGACUGAGGCCGGAAACUAGUUUUUAUGAAAGAGAGCUGCUUUCUGUAGCAGUGUUUUUUUUAAACAGGCUUGCUAUGUGCUGGUAGCUUCUUUGUGCAUCUUGCCUAGACAUUUAAAACCGCCCCACCCCCAAAAAUGCUUCCCCAAAACAACUCAAUUGGAUACCUCUCGAGAAAACACUCUCCCCCUUCCCCACUUCACCCAAGCUAUGGGGGAAAGGUACCAUAGUCUGUUUCUUGUUACUAAACAACAUCUCUGCUUGUUUUGGGGCCCUGAGUUUGCUGCUUUUUAAAAUAAAGUCACUUAACUGGCAAACUUCUGGACGACUUCCUCCAAGAUCCUGGAAAGUGAAGGCUGCUACAUAAAUAACUUAAAACAGGGGUGCGCGCUUUUUGGCUGAGUCACCAGGGCUUUCCCUCAUCCCAAUGGAAUAUUGGUUUCCAAAAAGCUCCUUCCAGGUAAGUUCUGGGUCCCAUAAUAACUUCUUUGUGAUAAUCUCCAGGAGAGAGGUCCUCCUUCUGCACUGAUUUUUUUUAUUUAUUUAUUUAUUUUUGUUACUCUUCACUCUGUUAAACUAAAAACAUUGAAUUUAUUUUGUUUUGUUUUCUUUAACAGAAGCUUUGAUAUCAGCUGCAGAUCAUUCUCAGUGCAGGGUCGGGGGCAUAUCUGCACUGGUGGUCGAAGCAGCUCUCUAGACAAGCAUGUCUGCUAGUUUAUAUCACUCCUGAUUAACAGUCAGAGACUUGAUCUGUGCCAUAGGGUAUUCUGGUUGUCUGACAAAGGGUGCGUUUCCCAGGCAGCUGGCCAGAUCACUUUUACAAUUUGAUCUUGCUUCAGUAUCUUCUAAAAGCGCAGGAAGAUUGUGACUGUGCACAAAUACAUUGGAGCAUGCUAGACUGGAGAAACCAAAUCUUGUACUUGCUCUGAUCUUUCUUCAGCCUGAUAUGUGCACAUACAGGACCACCUUUUUAAUCUGGAGAACAUCCCCUGCCUUUUCUGGCCUUCCCCUCAAAAAAAUCAAGUCAGCAGUGUCUGUGCUAUUAGCUACAAUUCCGGGUGCUUUCUGCCAGGAAAGCGCUUCCCUGUAUCCACUUGGUAAUUCAACUCGCUUUGCUGCUCAUGGAUGUGCGGAAUGGGAUUGGCUAAGGAUCACGUAGCCUGCUGCUUGUCAGACUCUAGUUAAACUCUGGCAGUGAAGAUGUGAUUGUGCCGAUCAUAUUUUCCCCUCCCUUACCUUACACUUUUCCCAUUAAAAUAUUUUGUUAUUGCACCAAGGACCCUAGUUGGAGACUCGCGCAGCCCCCUGUGAAAUCUGCCUUCUCACCCCCUUUUUGGUGUGAUUCAGGACUUUGGAGUCAGCAAAGAAUAAGGGGACCCCUUUGCUGUAAUAAGAAACAGACAUAAAGUCCCCUCUUGCCACUACAAACCCCUUGUUUUUAUUUUCUCCCUGUCCCCUCUUUGAAAUUGAUGAAGUCUGGGCAAUAGAUGCAGUCUGACCCUUUGGAUAUAAUUUUUGUAUCUUCAUUUUUUUGACAUUCGCCCCUAUUAACCCCGGGUGGGGCCAAAAAGCGUUGGAGGACCUGAAAUUUUUACCUGAACCCAGGUUCUCCGGCACUUCACAACCAAAUGGGGCUACAGAGAAGCAUCUAAGCCAGUUCACAGAGCGAGCGUGUGUGGGGACUUCUCGCUGCCAUGGACCCUUGAUGCAUGCUCCCCGCGCUCCAGUGGUCCCGUGUCAGAGGGCGGAGUUUUCGAAAGGAGGCCGCCAAAAAUAAAAGGCAAAGAGACGGGAUCGGCUGCAGCGGUUUCCCACAGGAGGAGGGAGUGUGCAUCGGUCUGAUGUGGAAGACGUUAAGUUUGUGAUAAACUACGACUAUCCGAACAGCUCUGAGGAUUAUGUGCACCGAAUUGGCCGCACUGCCCGUAGCAC